AAAAUAAGAGCGCACAGUGGAUGCCUUGGCACC
rnacentral:rRNA from 1 species